rnacentral:rRNA from 1 species
CCCGUACUUGGUGUUACUGCGAAGGGGGGACGGAGAAGGCUAUGUUGGCCGGGCGACGGUUGUCCCGGUUUAAGCGUGUAGGUGUGUGUUCCAGGUAAAUCCGGUUCACUUUAACACUGAGGCGUGACGACGAGGCACUACGGUGCUGAAGCAACAAAUGCCCUGCUUCCAGGAAAAGCCUCUAAGCAUCAGGUAACACGAAAUCGUACCCCAAACCGACACAGGUGGUCAGGUAGAGAAUACCAAGGCGCUUGAGAGAACUCGGGUGAAGGAACUAGGCAAAAUGGUGCCGUAACUUCGGGAGAAGGCACGCUGACACGUAGGUGAAGUGAUUUACUCAUGGAGCUGAAGUCAGUCGAAGAUACCAGCUGGCUGCAACUGUUUAUUAAAAACACAGCACUGUGCAAACACGAAAGUGGACGUAUACGGUGUGACGCCUGCCCGGUGCCGGAAGGUUAAUUGAUGGGGUCAGCGUAAGCGAAGCUCCUGAUCGAAGCCCCGGUAAACGGCGGCCGUAACUAUAACGGUCCUAAGGUAGCGAAAUUCCUUGUCGGGUAAGUUCCGACCUGCACGAAUGGCGUAAUGAUGGCCAGGCUGUCUCCACCCGAGACUCAGUGAAAUUGAACUCGCUGUGAAGAUGCAGUGUACCCGCGGCAAGACGGAAAGACCCCGUGAACCUUUACUAUAGCUUGACACUGAACAUUGAGCCUUGAUGUGUAGGAUAGGUGGGAGGCUUUGAAGUGUGGACGCCAGUCUGCAUGGAGCCGACCUUGAAAUACCACCCUUUAAUGUUUGAUGUUCUAACGUGGACCCGUAAUCCGGGUUGCGGACAGUGUCUGGUGGGUAGUUUGACUGGGGCGGUCUCCUCCUAAAGAGUAACGGAGGAGCACGAAGGUUGGCUAAUCCUGGUCGGACAUCAGGAGGUUAGUGCAAUGGCAUAAGCCAGCUUGACUGCGAGCGUGACGGCGCGAGCAGGUGCGAAAGCAGGUCAUAGUGAUCCGGUGGUUCUGAAUGGAAGGGCCAUCGCUCAACGGAUAAAAGGUACUCCGGGGAUAACAGGCUGAUACCGCCCAAGAGUUCAUAUCGACGGCGGUGUUUGGCACCUCGAUGUCGGCUCAUCACAUCCUGGGGCUGAAGUAGGUCCCAAGGGUAUGGCUGUUCGCCAUUUAAAGUGGUACGCGAGCUGGGUUUAGAACGUCGUGAGACAGUUCGGUCCCUAUCUGCCGUGGGCGCUGGAGAACUGAGGGGGGCUGCUCCUAGUACGAGAGGACCGGAGUGGACGCAUCACUGGUGUUCGGGUUGUCAUGCCAAUGGCACUGCCCGGUAGCUAAAUGCGGAAGAGAUAAGUGCUGAAAGCAUCUAAGCACGAAACUUGCCCCGAGAUGAGUUCUCCCUGAGACUUAGAGUCUCCUGAAGGAACGUUGAAGACGACGACGUUGAUAGGCCGGGUGUGUAAGCGCAGCGAUGCGUUGAGCUAACCGGUACUAAUGAACCGUGAGGCUUAACCUUACAACGCCGAAG